UCAAACAAGAAAAUUUUCGGAUCACUCCUUUUGUCCCUCCAAAGAACAACACUCUAAUAAGAAAUUCAUAUUUAACUUUCAAUUAAUUUAACAUCAAAUUACUAUUGUAGUUUCAUACAUGGACAACUAUUGCUUCAUUUGCAAAUACAUGAAUGUAAUGUAUCCCUACCUCUUUGACAGUACUCCAAUAUAAUUCUCUCUGAAACUCAAUUGUUGGGUAUCUUUUUCUAUUCUCUUAUGAACAAAAAGACAACAAGAAGCAACUGGAAAUCAAGAAAAUACAACAAUUAUAAUGCAUUUCUAUUUAUAUUUCUUAUACCAAAAUUUCUUUUUUGUCUAAAACCCAAUCAAUUCAAAAUUUUUGGAUGACAAGGAAACCUGCAACCAUUACCAUACAUUGAGAUAAUUUAGUGCCUGUAAAUCAAAUUUGUGACCUUUUAAUACGAGAAUAAUGCUUCAUUCACUCUGUCUCAGUGUUUGUGUAAACCACACCGUGGAGGUAAACCAGACCCGUGGAUGACGAACUCGAUCAAGAGAUUGUAACCAAUCAUGCUUUACCAACUCAGGUCACCAUUUUUAGAGCAAAUUAGA